AGAGUUUGAUCCUGGCUCAGAUUGAACGCUGGCGGCAUGCUUUACACAUGCAAGUCGAACGGCAGCACGGGUGCUUGCACCUGGUGGCGAGUGGCGAACGGGUGAGUAAUAUACCGGAACAUGUCCGGAAGUGGGGGAUAACGUAGCGAAAGUUACGCUAAUACCGCAUAUGCCCUGAGGGGGAAAGGGGGGGAUCGCAAGACCUCUCGCUUUCGGAGUGGCCGAUAUCAGAUUAGCUAGUUGGUGGGGUAAAGGCCUACCAAGGCGACGAUCUGUAGCUGGUCUGAGAGGACGACCAGCCACACUGGGACUGAGACACGGCCCAGACUCCUACGGGAGGCAGCAGUGGGGAAUUUUGGACAAUGGGGGAAACCCUGAUCCAGCCAUGCCGCGUGAGUGAAGAAGGCCUUCGGGUUGUAAAGCUCUUUCAGCCGGAAAGAAAUCGCACUGGUUAAUACCUUGUGUGGAUGACGGUACCGGAAGAAGAAGCACCGGCUAACUACGUGCCAGCAGCCGCGGUAAUACGUAGGGUGCGAGCGUUAAUCGGAAUUACUGGGCGUAAAGCGUGCGCAGGCGGUUUUGUAAGACAGACGUGAAAUCCCCGGGCUUAACCUGGGAACUGCGUUUGUGACUGCAAGGCUAGAGUAUGGCAGAGGGGGGUAGAAUUCCACGUGUAGCAGUGAAAUGCGUAGAUAUGUGGAGGAAUACCGAUGGCGAAGGCAGCCCCCCUGGGUCAAUACUGACGCUCAUGCACGAAAGCGUGGGGGAGCAAACAGGAUUAGAUACCCUGGUAGUCCACG
rnacentral:rRNA from 1 species